CCUGCGGAGGGAUCAUUACCGAGUUUACAACUCCCAAACCCCUGUGAACAUACCACUUGUUGCCUCGGCGGAUCAGCCCGCUCCCGGUAAAACGGGACGGCCCGCCAGAGGACCCCUAAACUCUGUUUCUAUAUGUAACUUCUGAGUAAAACCAUAAAUAAAUCAAAACUUUCAACAACGGAUCUCUUGGUUCUGGCAUCGAUGAAGAACGCAGCAAAAUGCGAUAAGUAAUGUGAAUUGCAGAAUUCAGUGAAUCAUCGAAUCUUUGAACGCACAUUGCGCCCGCCAGUAUUCUGGCGGGCAUGCCUGUUCGAGCGUCAUUUCAACCCUCAAGCACAGCUUGGUGUUGGGACUCGCGUUAAUUCGCGUUCCUCAAAUUGAUUGGCGGUCACGUCGAGCUUCCAUAGCGUAGUAGUAAAACCCUCGUUACUGGUAAUCGUCGCGGCCACGCCGUUAAACCCCAACUUCUGAAUGUUGACCUCGGAUCAGGUAGGAAUACCCGCUGAACUUAAGCAUAUCAAUAAGCGGAGGAA
rnacentral:rRNA from 1 species